GUAGGGAAUAUUGGGCAAUGGAGGCAACUCUGACCCAGCCAUGCCGCGUGCAGGAUGACGGCCCUCUGGGUUGUAAACUGCUUUUAUACGGGAAGAAAAAAUACUACGUGUAGUAUACUGACGGUACCGUAAGAAUAAGGAUCGGCUAACUCCGUGCCAGCAGCCGCGGUAAUACGGAGGAUCCAAGCGUUGUCCGGAUUUACUGGGUUUAAAGGGUGCGUAGGCGGAUCUUUAAGUCAGUGGUGAAAGCCUGCAGCUUAACUGUAGAAUUGCCAUUGAAACUGAAGAUCUUGAAUGUGGUUAAAGUAGGCGGAAUGUAUCAUGUAGCGGUGAAAUGCUUAGAUAUGAUACAGAACACCGAUAGCGAAGGCAGCUUGCUGAACCAUUAUUGACGCUGAGGCACGAAAGCGUGGGGAGCGAACAGGAUUAGAAACCCCUGUAGUCC
rnacentral:rRNA from 1 species